rnacentral:rRNA from 1 species
CGUGUAGGCGGCCAGGUAGGUCUGCUGUGAAAACUCGAGGCUUAACCUCGAGAUGUCGGCGGAAACCAUCUGGCUAGAGUCCGGAAGAGGAGAGUGGAAUUCCUGGUGUAGCGGUGAAAUGCGCAGAUAUCAGGAAGAACACCCGUGGCGAAGGCGGCUCUCUGGGACGGUACUGACGCUGAGACGCGAAAGCGUGGGGAGCGAACA